UGCAGAUGGCUCUUCUUUCACCUCC
rnacentral:piRNA from 1 species